rnacentral:rRNA from 1 species
AGGACGAACGCUGGCGGCGUGCUUAACACAUGCAAGUCGAGCGGUAAGGCCUUUCGGGGUACACGAGCGGCGAACGGGUGAGUAACACGUGGGUGAUCUGCCCUGCACUUCGGGAUAAGCCUGGGAAACUGGGUCUAAUACCGGAUAUGACCUCCUAUCGCAUGGUGGGUGGUGGAAAGAUUUAUCGGUGCAGGAUGGGCCCGCGGCCUAUCAGCUUGUUGGUGGGGUAAUGGCCUACCAAGGCGACGACGGGUAGCCGACCUGAGAGGGUGACCGGCCACGACUGGGACUGAGACACGGCCCAGACUCCUACGGGAGGCAGCAGUGGGGAAUAUUGCACAAAUGGGCGAAAGCCUGGAUGCAGCGACGCCGCGUGAGGGAUCGAGGCCCUUGGGUUGUAAACCUCUUUCAGCAGGGACGAAGCG